rnacentral:rRNA from 1 species
UGGGGAAUAUUGGACAAUGGGCGAAAGCCUGAUCCAGCCAUGCCGCGUGUGUGAAGAAGGUCUUCGGAUUGUAAAGCACUUUAAGUUGGGAGGAAGGGCAGUAAGCGAAUACCUUGCUGUUUUGACGUUACCGACAGAAUAAGCACCGGCUAACUCUGUGCCAGCAGCCGCGGUAAUACAGAGGGUGCAAGCGUUAAUCGGAAUUACUGGGCGUAAAGCGCGCGUAGGUGGUUCGUUAAGUUGAAUGUGAAAGCCCCGGGCUCAACCUGGGAACGGCAUCCAAAACUGGCGAGCUAGAGUAGGGCAGAGGGUGGUGGAAUUUCCUGUGUGGCGGUGAAAUGCGUAGAUAUAGGAAGGAACACCAGUGGCGAAGGCGACCACCUGGGCUCAUACUGACACUGAGGUGCGAAAGCGUGGGGAGCAAACAGG